AGCUGUCGACAGACAGCCACCAAUGGUCCAGUCACUUGUGAGGAUCGCCUUCGGGUAGUGACAAAAGAACGCUUCCGUAGCUUGAAAGGGAGCACACCGUUUACGGUGUAGUACAUCUGCCCGCCUUUGAGAGUAGAUGUCGUUGGCAGUCAACAUGACU
rnacentral:sRNA from 1 species